AUUGAACGCUGGCGGCAGGCCUAACACAUGCAAGUCGAGCGGAUGAAGGGAGCUUGCUCCUGGAUUCAGCGGCGGACGGGUGAGUAAUGCCUAGGAAUCUGCCUGGUAGUGGGGGAUAACGUCCGGAAACGGGCGCUAAUACCGCAUACGUCCUGAGGGAGAAAGUGGGGGAUCUUCGGACCUCACGCUAUCAGAUGAGCCUAGGUCGGAUUAGCUAGUUGGUGGGGUAAAGGCCUACCAAGGCGACGAUCCGUAACUGGUCUGAGAGGAUGAUCAGCCACACUGGAACUGAGACACGGUCCAGACUCCUACGGGAGGCAGCAGUGGGGAAUAUUGGACAAUGGGCGAAAGCCUGAUCCAGCCAUGCCGCGUGUGUGAAGAAGGUCUUCGGAUUGUAAAGCACUUUAAGUUGGGAGGAAGGGCAGUAAGUUAAUACCUUGCUGUUUUGACGGUACCAACAGAAUAAGCACCGGCUAACUACGUG
rnacentral:rRNA from 1 species